GGAAGUAAAUCGUAACAAGGUCUCCGUAGGUGAGCCUGCGGAGGGAUCAUUACAGAGUUCAUGCCCUACCGGGUAGAUCUCCCACCUUAUGUUAUUAUUACUUUGUUGCUUUGGCGGGCCGUUAGGCUCCGGCCCGACUACCGGCCCCGGCUGGUAAGCGCCCGCCAGAGGACCCAAAACCCUGAAUAUUAGUGUCGUCUGAGUACUAUAUAAUAGUUAAAACUUUCAACAACGGAUCUCUUGGUUCUG
rnacentral:misc_RNA from 1 species